UACGUAGGGUGCGAGCGUUAAUCGGAAUUACUGGGCGUAAAGCGUGCGCAGGCGGUUUUGUAAGUCAGAUGUAAAAUCCCCGGGCUUAACCUGGGAACUGCGUUUGAAACUACAAGGCUAGAGUGUGGCAGAGGGGGGUGGAAUUCCACGUGUAGCAGUGAAAUGCGUAGAGAUGUGGAGGAACACCGAUGGCGAAGGCAGCCCCCUGGGUUAACACUGACGCUCAGGCACGAAAGCGUGGGGAGCAAACAGG
rnacentral:rRNA from 1 species